GGGUCAGUAGGUUGGUCGUGCCACCGGUACGUACUGGUCUCACUGAUUCCUCCUUCCUGAAGAACCGUAAUGCCAUUAAUUUGGUGUUGCGGGGAAACAGGACUGUUACUUUGAAAAAAUUAGAGUGUUUAACGCAAGCUGACGCUUGAAUACAUUAGCAUGGAAUAAUGAAAUAGGACGAUCGAUCCUAUUUUGUUGGUUUCUAGGAUUGACGUA
rnacentral:rRNA from 1 species